AUACUUAUCUGGCAGGGGAGAUACCAUGAUCACGAAGGUGGUUUUCCCAUGGCGGGGCUUAACCUCCGCACUCUGGAUGUGCUGACCCUGCAAUUUCCCAAAAUGUGGGAAACUGUGGGAAACUCGUCUGCAUAAUUUGUGGUAGUGGGGGACUGCAUUUGCAGUCUCCCC
rnacentral:snRNA from 1 species